UCGUUUUCUCAUUCUCUGGUUUUUUUUUUUUUUCCUCUUCAAAAAAUUUCUUUCCUCAUCGAUCUCUAUUUCCAAGGGUCUUUUGCCGGGGUUUAUCCAUUUUCCUCCGUCAAAUUUCUUUUAUCCAUUUUCGUUUGAAUUCUUGGAUUCCCUUCAUCUCGCUGACUUCCUGUAAACCCUAACGAUCUUCUUCUUAGGGUUUUAAUUUUGUUGUUCCAUCCUGGAGUCUCCUCGGCUUUGAAGUAUUUGUGUUAAUCGAAGAUUCCAUAUCACUUGUUGGAAAGCUCGGGGGAAUCUGUGCUUUUCUUGGCUAAUUUUGUGAGUUUCUUCAGGCUUACUGGUUCGUCAUUUUGAAUUUUCGAUAGACCUGCUUCUUUCGGUUUGGUUUUGAAGUCUCUGCAAUUACGGGUCUCAGAGGGAGGGAAUCCUUUUCUCCCCCGCGGACUUUCAAGGAACUACUGGCCUGCUCUUUCAAUUUUGAAUUUCGAGCGCGUUUUUUCCCCUCAUUUGGUAUUAAUAGGCCAGAUGAGAGCGGUUACUUUUCUGAUAUGACGUUUGAUUGGAAGGUGUUUGAUUUUAGUGCUUAGUAAUGGGGUGAAUCACGCAGGCCCAGUGAAAGCUAAAUGACUCGAGGAUUUGAAUAUGAGCCAUGGAGGUGGAAAAAUUACGAGAGAGAUUGAAAAUCAGGUGGAUCGUUUUAGAAGAGCUGGAGCUGAUGAUUUUGGGCGAGCGGCGUCGAAGAUUGCAGCAGCACAGAUAUGCCAGAGUCUGGGAUUUCAGGGAUCGAAGGAGUCUGCUUUGGACACGCUGGCGGAAAUUGUAAUAGUGUAUCUUAGUAACGUGGGAAAGAUGGCGAGUUUCUAUUCUAACUUAGCUGGAAGAACUGAGUGUAAUGUGUUUGACAUUGUUAGAGGACUUAAAGAUUUAGAAGCACUUGGGUCUAGUCAAGAUGCUGAGGUUAGCCGUUGUCUUGCAGGUUCAAGGUCAAUUCAAGAAAUUUUGGAGUAUAUGUAUUCGGUACAAGAAAUUCCAUUUGCUCAGCCAGUGCCGCAGUUUCCAAUUAUUAAGAACUGCAACGUGCUGCCGAGUUUCAUUCAAAUGAGGGAAACACCUCCUAGUAAACAUAUACCCAAUUGGCUACCUGCUUUUCCUGAUUCCCACACUUACAUUUAUACGCCAGUGUGGAAUAAGAGAACAACGGACCCUCGCACCGACAAGAUUGAGCAAGCAAAGCAGAGGAGAAAGGCAGAGAAGUCGUUGUUAAGUCUGCAGCAGCGGUUGGUUGUUGAUACUGGCAAUAUAAAGGAAGAAUUACCUAUUUUGAAUAGUAACACAUCCCAUGAUUCAGAAUUGAAACCGAGGAAGGAUGCUGUUUCUGUGGCCAAAUUGCCUCUUAAACAUUCAGAUCAUGUGUUUGAUGACAGUGGUUCUGUGUUAGAGGCAUUUGCUCCGGUCAUAGAAGCUGUUAAAGGCAGUGGCUUUUAUGACGACGAAGAGGGUGAGAAGAAGGAUCUUCCCACUAUUAGGCAUCCUGUUCAAUUUAAGUUCAAAACUGGGAAGAAGCUUCUUGGUGAUUCUUUGGAUUUGAACAUUCAAAAGAAAGGAAUUAGUAGAACAACAGUCUUGGUUGGACGGUAUGAUGAAAGGGAUGAUAGGAAACGAAGAGCUGAAUACAUUCUUAGGAAGUCUAUGGAGAACCCGCAAGAACUCAAUCAGUUGUGAAUAAAUAUAUUGACUGGCGUUAGUAUUUAAUCUAGGAUUUUUUCGGAGAUGCAAAUGCUUGUGAAAAUUUUAUCGAGAAGGGAAAGUACUGAAAGGUGGCCAUUCUUUGCAGCUUCUGGAUUGGUGCUCUCUUCUUGUCUUCUGAUGAACCUGCUUGAACUGCAGGACCAAAGAUUUUUUUAUUUUUUCUUCAUGGCACAGGUAUGAUUCGAAGGUUACUAUUUCUCUAUUUUACUGCUUUCAGAUUUGAUUUAUGCUUUUUAUGACUUAGAUUUACCAAAUCUGAUCUUCCCUAGGAAACCUACUGAACGUUUCUGAAUGGUAUGAUUUGUCCUUGAGAGUAAAACAUUAAGCUGCAGCUAAAAAGAUAUCAGAACCUAGUUUGGAUAUUGUAACCUUGAUUUGUCUCGAGAGAACAGUCGAGAUGUGUGCAAGUUAGUAAGAACGCUCACAGAUACAAAAUAAAAUAACGCGGCCUUAGACCUGCAUCAUGAAUGUUCUUUGUAAAAGCACGAGGAAUUUAGAUAGUUGGACACUUUACUUUUAUCAUAUCUGUUAAGCAAAAGGAGCGGCAAGAAUGAGCCAAAAGGAGUUAUAGCUGUUGAAGUACUGUAAAAUCUCGCAUAUUCCUGUGUUUUAUUAUUGUUCUUUCAACUGUAAUGCUCAAAUAAUGUGUUUGUUUGUUUUCUUCCUCAAUGUUGUCUGGAAGGUGAAUUGAUCGACCCGUUUAAUGUUCGAUUUUGUGAAGUUGGAUAAGGAUAGGAUUUGUGAUACAAGUUUCAAAGUUGUGUGUCUAUGGAAUUUUUUCUUUUUAUGUUGCUUUCUGCUGUGUUUUCUUAGAACAAACAUCCUUGCUUUAUACCCUGACUACUUUGUUGGAGGCUUUUUGAUAAAUUAAGCAUGGAAUGUCAUGCUACAAAAUGGUUCCUGAGCUGACCCUUUGCGACAAGCAUGUCGAUCCUACCGAAAAACAGAAAUUUAAGUUAUGCCUUGUUGUCCAAUCCCCAUAUGUCGACCUUGUCAAGUUUCAAGUGGGAAAUGUUUUGAAUCUGAGUCUCUUUUGAGUCGAGUCGAGCUUGAUUGAACAGUUAAACUUAUUUGGAUUUUUUCUUAUAAACUCGUUCAUAAAUAUGUGGCUUGUGUGCACGUUCAUAUGACAAAUAGAAAUUGUACGGUUAACUA